UACGUAGGGUGCUAGCGUUAUCCGGAAUCACUGGGCGUAAAGCGUGCGUAGGCGGCUUGUUAAGUGAGAUGUUCAAUCGUGUGGCUCAACCAUAUCGAUGCAUUUCAUACUGGCAGGCUAGAGGACGGCAGAGGCAAGUGGAAUUGGUAGUGUAGCAGUGAAAUGCGUAGAUAUUACCAGGAACACCAAUGGCGAAGGCAGCUUGCUGGGCCGACCCUGACGCUGAGGUACGAAAGCGUGGGGAGCGAACAGG
rnacentral:rRNA from 1 species